AUUGAACGCUGGCGGAAGGCUUAACACAUGCAAGUAGAACGAGGGGCGGACGGGAGAGUAAUGCUUGGGAAUCUAGCUUAUGGAGGGGGAUAACUACGGGAAACUGUAGCAAAUACCGCGUACCAUAAGAUGAGCCCAAGGGUGAUUAGGUAGAUGGUGAGGUAAAGGCGCAACAAGCCGACGAUCUCUAGCUGGUCUGAGAGGAUGACCGGCCACACUGGAACUGGGACACGGUCCAGACGCCUACGGGAGGCAGCAGUGGGGAAUAUUGCACAAUGGGCGCAAGCCUGAUGCAGCCAUGCCGCGUGUAUGAAGAAGGCCUUCGGGUUGUAAAGUACUUUCAGCGAGGAGGCGUUACUCGCAGAAGAAGCACCGGCUAACUCCGUGCCAGCAGCCGCGGUAAUUC
rnacentral:rRNA from 1 species